rnacentral:rRNA from 1 species
CUCUUCGGGGAUGAUUAAACCGGCGCACGGGUGAGUAACACGUGAGUGACCUGCCUUUUAGACUGGAACAACUUACCGAAAGGUGAGCUAAUGCCGGAUGAGUUAUAUAAGUGCAUGUUUAUAUAGGAAAAGUUGGGGAGACCUGACGCUGAAAGAUGGACUCGCGUCCCAUUAGCUAGUUGGUAGGGUAAUGGCCUACCAAGGCGACGAUGGGUAGCCGGCCUGAGAGGGUGGCCGGCCACACUGGGACUGAGACACGGCCCAGACUCCUACGGGAGGCAGCAGUGGGGAAUUUUGCGCAAUGCUCGUAAGAGUGACGCAGCGACGCCGCGUGAAUGACGAAGGCCUUCGGGUCGUAAAGUUCUUUCGACAGGGAAGAAAAUGCCUAUAAGUAACUGUGUAUGUAUUGACGGUACCUGUAUAAGCAGCCCCGGCUAACUCCGUGCCAGCAGCCGCGGUAAUACGGAGGGGGCGAGCGUUGUUCGGAGUGACUGGGCGUAAAGAGCACGUAGGCGGUGUUGUAAGUCAUUAGUCAAAGACUAGAGCUCAACUUUAGUAAGGCUAGUGAUACUAUAAUACUAGAGUAUCAGAGAGGAUUGCAGAAUUCCUGGUGUAGCGGUGAAAUGCGUAGAUAUCAGGAGGAAUACCGUUAGCGAAGGCGGCAAUCUGGCUGGAAACUGACGCUGAGGUGCGAAAGCGUGGGUAGCAAACAGGAUUAGAUACCCUGGUAGUCCACGCUGUAAACGAUGGAUGCUAGGUGUU